GUGCUUCAGCAGCACAUAUACUAAAACUGGAACAAUACAGAGAACAUUAGUAUGGUCCCCACACAAGGUGACAUGUAAAUUCAUGAAGCAGCCCAUAUUUUU
rnacentral:snRNA from 1 species